rnacentral:tRNA from 1 species
GCGGGAAUAGCUCAGUUGGUAGAGCACGCCCUGGCCAGGGUCGGGGUCGCGAGUUCGAGUCUCGUUUCCCGCUCCA